rnacentral:rRNA from 1 species
AUGGACAAAAUCAAGGGGAAAAGGAUGCCCCGGUCACACAUGCUGAGUUUCUGGAAUUACGGAACAUUGUUCAAGAAUAUCGAAGGAGGCUUGACGAGCGUCUUCGAGCAAGUGGUGAUGGGGUUCGACACCGACAAUACCCUGUUGCUCAUGAAGUGCAGCAAAGAAGACAUGCUCGAGGGCAUGAUGUUGUUGCUCGUGGGCGUGUCCCUACUACUCAAGAAGUACAGAAAGGAGGACGUGCUCGAGGGCAUGGUGUUGCUGCUCAUGGGCGUGUCGUUGCUGCUCCUGAAGUGCAGCAAGAACGGCAUGCUCGAGGGCAUGCUACCGCUACCCCUAGGCAUGUCGAUGCUGCUCAUGAAUCGUAGCAAGGAUGUCAUGCCUGACGACAAAGUUAUGGCACCCGUCGGCACACCGACGACCCACCGCAAAGCAUGGCUGUGGUUGAUGAACCGACUCCGGUGA